rnacentral:rRNA from 1 species
UACGGGGGGGGCAAGCGUUGUUCGGAAUUACUGGGCGUAAAGGGCUCGUAGGUGGCCAACUAAGUCAGACGUGAAAUCCCCAGGCUCAACUUGGGAACUGCGUCUGAUACUGGAUGGCUUGAAUUCGGGAGAGGGAUGCGGAAUUCCAGGUGUAGCGGUGAAAUGCGUAGAUAUCAGGAGGAACACCAGUAGCGAAGGCAGCUCGCUGGGACGUACUGACGCUGAGGAGCGAAAGCGUGGGGAGCGAACAGG